rnacentral:sRNA from 1 species
UAAAAUGUAUGUUCAUGACGAUGGUGAA